GCCGAGGUGAUGGAAUUGGUAGACAUACAGGGCUUAAAACCCUGAGAAGGAAUAAAUCCCUUCGUGUGGGUUCGAUUCCCACCCUCGGCACCA
rnacentral:tRNA from 1 species